rnacentral:rRNA from 1 species
GAUGAACGCUGGCGGCGUGCCUAAUACAUGCAAGUCGAGCGAACAGACGAAGAGCUUGCUCCUCUGACGUUAGCGGCGGACGGGUGAGUAACACGUGGAUAACCUACCUAUAAGACUGGGAUAACUUCGGGAAACCGGAGCUAAUACCGGAUAAUAUAUUGAACCGCAUGGUUCAAUAGUGAAAGACGGUUUUGCUGUCACUUAUAGAUGGAUCCGCGCCGCAUUAGCUAGUUGGUAAGGUAACGGCUUACCAAGGCAACGAUGCGUAGCCGACCUGAGAGGGUGAUCGGCCACACUGGAACUGAGACACGGUCCAGACUCCUACGGGAGGCAGCAGUAGGGAAUCUUCCGCAAUGGGCGAAAGCCUGACGGAGCAACGCCGCGUGAGUGAUGAAGGUCUUCGGAUCGUAAAACUCUGUUAUUAGGGAAGAACAAAUGUGUAAGUAACUAUGCACGUCUUGACGGUACCUAAUCAGAAAGCCACGGCUAACUACGUG